UGCAAAAGAAGAGUUGAGUUUAAUAGGCCUGCAAUCUCUCAUCAGUUCCCCAAGGAAGCCUGUAGAUGACAACAGUUCUGACUAUAAAGAGAGACAGCAACAUUUUCCCGGACUUCAAAUUGUCAGGGUUGAGAAGGUGGAGAACAAAGCUCUGAAGCAGGUCUUUGACCUUAGGAAAAGGCAGUUGCAGGUGUCUACCUCUUCUCAGCGAAUGUACCAGCGCUUGCCUGUGCAAUUCUGUGACCUGCUCAGCAGAGUGGGCUUUCAGAUGGAGUUUGCACCACCUGAUGGUAAGAGAGAUUCAGAUGGAUUUGCACCACCUGACGGUAAGAGAGAUUCAGAUGGAGUUUGCACCACCUGACGGUAAGAGAGAUUCAGAUGGAGUUU
rnacentral:lncRNA from 1 species